rnacentral:piRNA from 1 species
UCCUUGCGGGAUUCCCUAAAAGGCC